ACCUAAAGGAGUGUUGGAGCGCUUAGAAGUGAGAAUGCCGGUAUGAGUAACGAAAGACGGGUGAGAAUCCCGUCCACCGAAUGCCUAAGGUUUCCUGAGGAAGGCUCGUCCGCUCAGGGUUAGUCGGGACCUAAGUCGAGGCCGAUAGGCGUAGACGAUGGACAACAGGUUGAUAUUCCUGUACUAGAGUAUGUA
rnacentral:rRNA from 1 species